rnacentral:rRNA from 1 species
CUACGGGAGGCAGCAGUGGGGAAUUUUGCGCAAUGGGGGAAACCCUGACGCAGCAAUACCGCGUGAGUGAAGAAGGCCUUUGGGUCGUAAAGCUCUUUUCUUGGGGAAGAUAGUGACGGUACCCAAGGAAUAAGCACCGGCUAACUCCGUGCCAGCAGCCGCGGUAAUACGGAGGGCGCAAGCGUUGUUCGGAUUUACUGGGCGUAAAGGGCACGUAGGCGGCACAGCAAGUUAAGGGUGAAAUCCCGGGGCUCAACUCCGGAACUGCUCUUAAAACUGCUGAGCUAGAGAUAGUCAGAGGCGGGUGGAAUUCCAGGUGUAGAGGUGAAAUUCGUAGAUAUCUGGAGGAACACCGGUGGCGAAGGCGGCCCGCUGGGGCUAUUCUGACGCUAAGGUGCGAAAGCGUGGGGAGCAAACGGGAUUAGAUCCCCUAGUAGUC